ACCGGUCUCUCAGACAGGGACCGGUUCCCAAGAGCUGGUUUCUCAGGACUUAGCCAUUUUUCCUCAUUUCUCAUUUUUCACGCGUUCGGGGACCGGUCUCUCCUUCAGGGACCGGUCCCCGAGAGCUGAAAACCUGCAGAAUGCAGAUUUCACAAUUUUAGCUCUCGAAAACCUCCCGUAACUCACUUUUGAUCAUUUUAACACCUUCGGACUUUCCGAAGUGUUCCAACCUCGCACUUUGGUCAAUUUGACUAAAGUUCGAUAUUUAUUUUCCAAAUUCUCGGUAUAUUACAGAAAAGACAUGCAAAAUUCUUGGAACUUAAAACUACUUUUAGUUCAUAAGCCAGCCUUUAUAAUUCGUUUCAGUAAGGGUUUUGUGUCGAGAAUAUAAGAGAGAUAAUUGGAAGCAGACAUUUACUUUGCAGAGAGUAAAGAUUCAAAUUAGAUAUUUGUAUUUAUUUUAAAAUUUUUAUUUUAGGAAUUUUAAAAAACAAAUUUAGCCUCCUACUAUUUUCUCGAGUCUCUUACACUUCUCGGGUAGAGAAACGGAAGCCCAACGCGACAAAAGGUUUCAAGUAGGUACUGCGGUCCCACCAGUUUAACGUACCACCUCACCUAAUAGUUAUUGGUGAUAU
rnacentral:lncRNA from 1 species